GAUGAAGAACGUAGCGAAAUGCGAUAAGUAAUGUGAAUUGCAGAAUUCAGUGAAUCAUCGAAUCUUUGAACGCACAUUGCGCCCGCCAGUAUUCUGGCGGGCAUGCCUGUUCGAGCGUCAUUACAACCCUCAGGCCCCCGGGCCUGGCGUUGGGGAUCGGCGGAGCCCCCCGUGGGCACACGCCGUCCCCCAAAUGCAGUGGCGGUCCCGCCGCAGCUUCCAUCGCGUAGUAGCUAACACCUCGCGACUGGAGAGCGGCGCGGCCACGCCGUAAAACACCCAACUCUUCUGAAGUUGACCUCGAAUCAGGAAGGAAUACCCGCUGAACUUAAGCAUAUCAAUAAGCGGAGGA
rnacentral:misc_RNA from 1 species